AUCCUACGACACUUCGUAACUCGAUCUUGUUGGAAGAAUCAUCAUUGCUAACACAGUUAAGUCAUAAUUACAUUAAAUAUUGGUAAUAAAAUAAUUCUAGGCUAUAAAUAUACAUUAAAAACGGUUAUAAAAAAAGAACAUUGUGCGAGAGCCCUCUUGCCUAGAGUCAACUAGGAUGUGCUCACACUCACCUGCAAACCUAAUAAUAAAAAAGCGGUAUAGAAAAUUGAUGUAUUUUCAUUAUUAUAAAUUUGACAUGUCUAAUGGGCUGUUCUGCUAUUAACUGGCGACCAGUCCAGGGUGUACCCAACCUCGUCCUCAUUCAAAGUCAACCUGGACAGGCUCUAGCUCCCUCUGUAUAUAGCACUAUAUAACUAUAUAAAUCUACUAUUUAGUACAGUAGCUAAAUAUUUUGAAGGCUGAACACAAUCAAACAAGUAAAUAAAUAAUGUUCUGUUCACCCAUUGUGCGCUAUCCGACGUGCCAGAUCGCCAGGCAGAUGACGGCCCAUGAACGUGUGUUCUUGGCGCCGAGCGGCAGAUCGCCUCCUCCGCGUUCUCAGCGUGCUUGAGAGAUAUGAGAUUAGACAGCUGCAUGUCACACUCAUUGUCCUUCGUUAACAAGUGUAAUUUGUGCCUCAUUCUGUCAUCCGGCUCUUCCACGAGCGCCCAAAUUCAUUCUGGCUCUCCACGGAGGUUGGAAGAAUCAUCACGCUGGCAAGCGUACUCGUACCAUCUGUGAUAAGGAGAGCGGCGCGUCAUCCACUUGAAUAAACACAUUUUUGUCCCCUUUGACGUUGACAUCCGAUGGCGUAGACGACCUCUCUGCCACAACAGACAACACAUGGAAAUGAGCAGGGUUCAAAUGGAAGUGUUCAACAGCUGGUCGAGGCGAUCCAUAAACAGAUGAUGGCGAGCCUGAUUGGAACGCCGAACUGUGCUGCGUGCGGCUAAAGUUUCAACCUUCUGCCGAAGAGUGUAAAUCAUACAGCGCAAGGAUCUUUAUUGAACUCUAAUGGGUGGAGACAGCCUCUGUAUUGGCCGCUAUCACAGGCAGCGAGAGGACCAGAUGAAUAUUGAAGGCGAGAGCCAAAGACGACAUCGGUGAUAGAAGUUGUUUCAAAGCUGACAGGACAAAGCCACUGGAGGGAAAACAGACAACUGACAAGAGUUCGGCCAGCCGAGCGCACCAAAUGCUGAACGCUGGAGUACAACCUGAGCACAAAUCGAUCAUAAGUUAGACUUGGCAAACUUCUUCAAGAGCACAGUUGCUAAUAGUCCCCCAUUUAAAUCUUUGAAAUUACGAGAGACUAAUUAAUACUCGGCAGCACUGUGAAAUAGCGGUUAGUGCCCAGUGCGGUUCAAUUGACUUGCAACCAGUCCAGGAUUUACCUCCUCAUUGGCCCUCAAACUCAGCUCCGUGUAACCAUGAACCUAGGACAAAUGGUAUAGAAAAUAGAUGGAUGGAAAAUAAUAUGAACUCAACUCAACGCUUCAGAAAAAAAAAAAAAAUCAAACUUGAGAAAACGCAGAUGACUAUAGUGCUUGCAGUUCCGGACUGAGACGUGUGUACCACCAUCCUACGUCACAAUCUGGUUCGAUGGUGAUCAUCACAACUUUCCCACGUUUGAUAUGACAUACAUGAUAACAGACGCUACUCCAGGCUUUUGUGCGACUCUACACAUCACAAGGUCACAUCUUAGACCUGGUCAUCUCUAAGGAUGUUGAAAUUCUAUCAAUUGACAUUAAGGAUAUGGCUAUUUCUGACCAUUACAGAGUCUUCCUAAAGUUCAGACAACCUCUAUGUCUAUUUAGAAAAGGUACAUAAAUGAGAGCACCGCCACUAAGUUUAUGGAGACCAUUGCUGUGCCACAAUCUGUGAAUGCUGAGACAGUUGAUGAACUUUUGGAUAAUUUCACCUGUAAAAUCUCAAAUGUCAUGAAUGCUGUCGUUCCUAUUAAAACUAAGACAAUCUUGAGGCGACCUAGAACACUGUGGAGGAGCACAAUGAUGGUAAAGACCUCGAAAUCAAAGUGUAGGAAAGCAGAACGUAAGUGGAGAAAAACUAAACUCCAAAUUGACUAUGACCUCUACAGACAGAGUCAGGGCUAGACAGCAACACUUUUCUGAAAUCAUCAGGAAAAACUCUAUUAACAUGUCAGAAUUUGAUACAAUUGACCAAAAAACUGUAGAGAAAACGGUUCAGCAGCUGAAACCAUCAAUGAGCUGUCUUGACUCAAUGCCAUCUGACUCUUCAAAGCUAUUGCGAAGUCUGUGCUAGCUGAUUUGCAGCAAAUAAUCAAUUGCUCACUGCAGUCAGGCAAGUUUCCUAAAGCUCUUAAAGUAGCUGCCAUUAAGCCUCUGCUAAAAAAUAGAAGAAGAAGAAGAAGAAGAAUGCUGGACGCUUCCAUGUUAGCAAGCUAUAGACCCAUCUCAAAUCUCCCUUUCAUAGCCAAGAUUUUCGAGAAAGUUAUUUCAACUCAGCAAUUUCUUGAACUUAAAUGGACUUUUUGACAAAUUUCAAUCAGCUUUACGAACUCAUCACAGUACAGAAUCUGCUCUUAUCAAAGUGCUAAAUGAUAUAAGGUUAAAUACUGACUCGGGACAGGUGUCAAUUCUGGUCCUGUUGGACCUCAGUGCUUUUGAUACGGUAGAUCAUAACAUACUGCUGAACAGGUUGGAAACGUGGGUAGGACUAAAUGAAACAGUCCUGAAAUGGUUCAGGUCCUACCUGGAGGAAAGGAGUUAUUUUGUAACCAUUGGAAGUGUUCAAUCUCAUCGAAUGGCAAUGACCUAUGGGGUCCCUCAAGGGUCAGUUCUUGGACCCCUCCUGUUCACCCUGUAUAUGCUACCCUUGGGUCAAAUUCUUCAGAACUUGAAUUUUGACUAUCAUAGGUUUGCAGAUGACACACAGUUAUAUCCAGCAGUGUCUCCAGAUGACUACAGUUCAAUUGAACUUCUUAUAUGAAGAGCAGAAUGCCGCCACCGUAUGCCGGUCCAGGUGGACUUGGUAUCCAAGCAACUGUAUCAAAGCAGCGGUGGCAUUGGCAAUUGAAUCCAGAGGACUUUACAAUGUAGGAACAAUGCAGCUGUCAUUCGGCAGCAGCUAAGAUCACCUGCUCGGACUCUCCCUCCAGCACGUCCGCAGGGAGCUCAUUCCGAUCAGAACUUUCCUCGGAAAGACCCAACGUGUGUCUACCGACACCAGCGGAACAUUUGUCAGCAAAUUCGAUACUGAUCAAGUAAAACCAGGAGAACUGAACAUUGGAAAAGGUUUAGAUUUGUUUAUUGUAACUAACUAAAUGCAUUAAUUAAAUUUAAAAUCCUCAUACAAGUUAUCAAAAUAACCACUACACCAAGAAAAAUUGCAUAAUCAAUGAACGGCUCCCGUCAAGGACAGUUAUUAAAUAAAAAGCCCCCCCAAAAUUCCUACCAGAAAUAUGAUAGUCUUUUGAUUUUAUAUUUUAUUUAUUUAGUUAUUUGCUUUUUCAGAUUAACCAUUAAAACAGAUUAAAUUGACACACAGUUAUAUCCAGCAGUGUCUCCAGAUGACUACAGUUCAAUGGAAGUGUUGUGUCACUAUCUAAAACAGAUAAAUAUCUGGAUGAGCCAAAAUGUUCUUCAAUUAAACCACAACAAAACUGAGAUAAUUGUUUUUGGCAAUAAAGAAAAGAGUCGCUCUCUUUAAAACCAAAGACCAAGUCCGAAACCUUGGUGUUCUGAUAGAUUCUGAACUGACCUGCAACAGUCAUAUCAAAUCAAUGACUAAAACUGCCUUCUACCAUCUGAAGAACAUAUCCAGAGUGAAGGCUUGCAAGUGCCAAGCAGGCCAGGAGAAGCUCAUCCGUGCUUUUAUCUCAACUAGACUUGACUAUUGUAAUGGUCUUCUGACCAGACUCCCCAGAAAGAGCAUUAAACAGCUGCAGCUCAUUCAGAAUGCUGCAGCUCGGGUUCUGACCAGAAUAAAGAGGUCAGAGCAUAAUACUCCAAUUCUAAAGUCUUUACUCUGGCUUCCAAUCAGCUUUAGAAUAGAUUUUAAAGUUCUGCUACUAGUCUACAACUCACUAAAUGGUUUAGGUCCUGAACACAUGAAUGAAACGCUAAUGGAAUAUAAACCCAGUACGACUCUCAGAUCGACAGACUCAGGUCAAAUAGUGGAGCACAGAGUCCAAAGCAAACAUGGUGGAGCAGCAUUUAGCUAUUAUGCUGCACACAAAUGGAAUAAGUUGCCAACAGAAGUGACAUCAGUCCCAAGUGUGCAUGUUUGUAAGUCCAGGUUAAAAACUCUUUUUUUCCCCCAUGCUUUUUAGAGCAUUUUCACUUUUAAAAUUAUAUUUCUUGCACUGUACCCUGUUUUAAUUGUAUUUUUUUCUCUUUGUUUUCAAAGUUUAUAACCUGUUUUUUUCUUUGUUUUUUAAUGCUUUUACUCAUGUAAAGCACAUUGAGUUAUCUUGUGUAUGAAAUGCGCUAUAUAAAUAAAUUUGCUUUGCUUUCCUU